UCUCCGUUGGUGAACCAGCGGAGGGAUCAUUACUGGAAUCGCAAGAUCCCACAACCCCUGUGAACCUACCGAAACGUUGCCUCGGCGGGCGCCCGGCCCCGCGCCGGGCGUCGAGCCCGCCGGUGGCCCACUACUCUGUCUCUGCAGCGUGGCAUCUCCGAGUACGAGAAAAACAAGUCAAAACUUUCAACAACGGAUCUCUUGGUCCUA
rnacentral:misc_RNA from 1 species